AUUGAACGCUGGCGGCGUGCUUUACACAUGCAAGUCGAACGGCAGCGCGGUCUUCUUCCUGGCGGCUAGUGUCGAACGGGUGAGUAAUACAUCGGAACGUGCCCAGUAGGGGGUUAUAGCUCGUCGAAAGCCGGAUUAAUACCACCUACUACCUGAUGGUGAAAGCGGGGGAUCUUCGGACCGCUCGCGAUUUGAGCGGCCGAUUGCAGAUUAGCUAGUUUGUUGGGUAAAGGCCUACCAAGGCGACGAUCGGUAGCUGGUCUGAGAGGACGAACAGCCCCAGUGGGACUGAGAGACGGCACAGAGUCCUACGGGCGGCAGAAGUGGGGACUUGUGGCAACUGGGCGGAAGACUGCUCAAGCAACGCAGGGUGUGUGAUGCAGGCCUGCGGGUGGUAAAGCAGUUUUGGCGUGAAAGAAAAGGACUGUGCCAAUCCAAGGGUUAGAUGCCGGUACCCGUAGAAUAACACCCGGCUAAUUCCGGG
rnacentral:rRNA from 1 species